CCUACGGGGUGCAGCAGUGAGGAAUAUUGGUCAAUGGACGAGAGUCUGAACCAGCCAAGUAGCGUGAAGGAUGACUGCCCUAUGGGUUGUAAACUUCUUUUAUAUGGGAAUAAAAUGUUCCACGUGUGGGUUUUUGUAUGUACCAUAUGAAUAAGGAUCGGCUAACUCCGUGCCAGCAGCCGCGGUAAUACGGAGGAUCCGAGCGUUAUCCGGAUUUAUUGGGUUUAAAGGGAGCGUAGGUGGAUUGUUAAGUCAGUUGUGAAAGUUUGCGGCUCAACCGUAAAAUUGCAGUUGAAACUGGCAGUCUUGAGUACAGUAGAGGUGGGCGGAAUUCGUGGUGUAGCGGUGAAAUGCUUAGAUAUCACGAAGAACUCCGAUUGCGAAGGCAGCUCACUGAACUGCAACUGACACUGAGGCUCGAAAGUGUGGGUAUCAAACAGGAUUAGAUACCCCUGUAGUC
rnacentral:rRNA from 1 species